AUGGUAAAAAGACAGCACGCCAUUAGCAUUGCACCGUCCUCACGAGCACAAGAUCGCCGGAGCCACCAUCACCGCUAUGGACCAGGACGAGAAGCAGAUUGCCAGCCACAAGUAGUCACAUAUGGGCACAACCACUCCAGCAAUCAUGACGGGCAAGGCGAGGCGACUCCGGCAACUUCGCAGGAGUCGCGAUGUUCCACGGUGACAGCGGUGGCAAGGACAACAAACCUACAACGGCUGCCGCUCCAGAUGGGUGGGACUAAUAUGUUGUCCUGGGUCUCUUUGACAAUGUCUCAUCCUGUGAUUGACCAACAUAUUGAACAAAAAAUGUUCUUCUCCAGCAACUCUUUUUGA
rnacentral:rRNA from 1 species